AACGCAUAUUGCGCCCUCUGGUAUUCCGGGGGGCAUGCCUGUUCGAGCGUCAUUACUACCUUCAAGCUCGGCUUGUGUGUUGAGCAUCUGUUUAUAUGAACAGGCUUGAAAUGCAGUGGCGGUGUCGGGUUUGGAGCCCGAGCGUAUGGGGCUUCGUCAAACGCUCUGGUGGCCCAGCUCACACUGUCGGUUAUAUGUUACCACAGUUUGAUUGACCUCGGAUCAGGCAGGGUUACCCGCUGAACUUAA
rnacentral:misc_RNA from 1 species